CAGUCGCCGCGGGAAUACGUAGGUGGCAAGCGUUGUCCGGAAUUAUUGGGCGUAAAGGGCUCGCAGGCGGUUUCUUAAGUCUGAUGUGAAAGCCCCCGGCUCAACCGGGGAGGGUCAUUGGAAACUGGGAAACUUGAGUGCAGAAGAGGAGAGUGGAAUUCCACGUGUAGCGGUGAAAUGCGUAGAGAUGUGGAGGAACACCAGUGGCGAAGGCGACUCUCUGGUCUGUAACUGACGCUGAGGAGCGAAAGUGUGGGGAGCGAACAGGAUUAGAUACCCCAGUAGUCCCUGUCUCUUAUAC
rnacentral:rRNA from 1 species